rnacentral:misc_RNA from 1 species
CUCUGAUUUGAUACAACUUUGAUCAUGUAUUAUUUGUUGGUAAGAUAAGAUUGACAAGCAUCUUUCAAUCACCAGUAGAAGCUUGAAGGCAUGCAGGCUUUGCAAACCUCUUUGGUUCAUUAGUUGGGAUCAAAUCCAUCCAAUGAGUCCAAGCACACAGUCACAAGAGCAGAUGAUUCCAUAACACCAAUAACUCUGCUGUUUCUAAUAAUCUUCGGUGGCUUAUAUUGACUAGCUGGUGCUCCA